UGUUAGUUCAACCAUUUCAGUAAAGGUAGUGCUCACGCAAAAUCGCACGAUGAUGAGGUACAUUUCACGAUUGAAGCUUAAAUAAAAUUUGUUUAACACAGACUGAGUAUGCUUAAUUACAUGACAAAUAUAUAGAAACGGAGAAACUUCAAUGAACCAUAAAUGGAUACCACAACGUCUUUUCUUUAUUCAAUGGCAAUUUUGAUGUUGCUCAGGACUGUUGAAUUACUGCCAUCAGAAUUUCCAAACAAGGAAUUUAACGAUAUGGUCCAGGAUAAUUCAUAUACGCUACGUCAAAUACCAUAUAGAAAAACAAACAAGGAAAUUAAACGCAGAAGAUCAGAGGCAGAUAUAAAACCAGAACAAAUAAACAAUACAAACAAAUCAACAUAUUUCGAACACUUCAAUCAUGAAAUGCAUUUGCAAUCGAAAUGUGUUUUGUACAGUUUCCACACAAUCUAUUCAUACAUUUCGGCACACUGUUCAAAGUGAUCAGAGCAAUUUUGCAUACCUCAAUUUAAUACCAGGCAAGGGUGUCGAUAUAAAAAAAGGAAAGUAUAUACUUCAACCGAAUAUUUGGGUGUGGACAUUUUGGGGCAAGGAAGGUGCUUUUGAAUUCCUACGUUGGCCAACAGAGUUUGGUAUUUGGUCGAUGGGUCUUCUGUAUGAAAGUGUGACAUACCAUCCCAAUACCAAUCAGGCUUUCGAGAGUGUCGGGAAAUUGUUCAAACCUACGAGUUGGAAACAGAGAGGACGAUUUGAUUAUAAGUAGUGCUUUCAUAAAUUUAACACAAGAAAUGAUGUCCAUCAACUCAGACAAGUAUGGCCCCGCAUUUUAUUGCUACAAGACAAGGAUAUAUAUUGAACCGUAUAUGGUGUGCAAACACCUUGUGUGUCCCAUUGAAGCAGUCACGUAUUCAUGUUGUAACUUCUUUUACAACAAUACAAUCAGAGAACGAGUAAUGGUAUGCCGAGAACAAGUUUUUGAUUUUGAUGCAAUGUGGUGGGUUUGCCCGAGUAUUAUUUCUUUUGCUCUUUUUGCAUACUCGCCGAUUCUUGUUAUGUUUCUUUUCUACAAAGCGUUUGAGAAAACAAUGUGCCGAUGUCCUAUACCUCAAUCUGAUUGUCAUACACAUAGUGAAUAUCAUAACCAACCGUCUUUACAUCGAAAUGCAAUCGACGCUCUACUGAUGGAAGGUCAUAGUCAUGUUACGUUUUUAAACACAAUAUGCAUGCCUUUCACCGCUAUAAAAUCACUAUUAGCAAGAUCAUGUCUUCGCCAAUUUCUUUCCAGAUUCAUACGUGUUUUAAUUCCGCUGUCCACAUUUUCUAUCAUUGGACUUCAAAUUUUUCUUGACUACAAUUUUUUGCGUGAUUUUGUUGGCGCCUGUGUUGUAUCGGGCGUUCCGUUAGGCUUUCGAUCAAUGCUUACUGGUUACGAAGCAAGCAAUAACAAUUUUCUCCCAAUGCUUGGUGGUCCAUUCAUUGCAUCAACUUGUUACUUUGUGAUCACAAUAAUUAUUUUGGUAACGCCAAAAUCACCUAUUUUUUUGCUUGAAACCGGUUUAGAAUGGCAAAACCCUUCAGCGGUUGAGUCACCACUUUGUCUGAAACUUCAUACUAUUGGUCUUUUGGGUACAGUACCUUUAGAAAACACACAUCGAUAUCAGAAAAUUUACAGUUACCUUCUUGCUGAGUUUUAUAUGCUAAUGAAUACAAAAUUCUGGAAGUACGUUGUCACUCUUCAGCAAAAUAGAUGGGAAUCCUUAAGGCACUGUCGACUCUGUAUUUUGCUAUUUCCAAUAUAUGUUAUUUUCUGCGUAGUUGAAUUGUUUCUGGUGAUUCUGCUUUAUGGCGUACCUAUUGUGUCGUUUGGUUUCAUUGUCAUCAAAGGAUAUUGUAAUGCUUUGAUAAGAGCUGGCAACCGCAUUGGGACACUCGCUAGUAUGUGUGCAUAUGUGUGUUCCAUAUGUCUAGCAGUGCCCGUGUUCUACUUCCUAUUCAUGUUUUGCACCAUCUUUCUUGACGCAACUUUAUUUAUAUGUCGCGUAACAAUUUUCAGUUUUACAGGUAUGCUCGUUUUUCCUAAGACAGCCUACGGUUAUCUCAUCUUCGGAUUUACCAUAUUUUACUAUCUGUGGGACAGCCUUGAAAAGUUUUCCUUGAUAUACAAGAAGCUGUUAAAACAAUCAAUAGCAGUUGCGUCUUCUCUACAGAGAGCAAAUGACGAAGGGCAGAACAAAGUCAUUUACAAGAUACAUGGGCGUAAGUGGGUACGGGAAUCGCUAUUUGAAUAUAUUAUUGAGAAGCACAGACCGAGAAGAAAGCAAGUGUUUCUGACUGUGCUUCACACAGGUAUUCUUCUAGGCGUCUUGUGGAUUUUAAUAAACCUUCUCAUAAAAACUGACACGUUCCGAGAGUUGCAUGUUAUAAUGCAUGUGGGCACUGCACUAUUUAUAUGUGCAUUACCGACACUCUGUAGGCGAGUUUGCUUGCAAAAAGACAGAAGCUCACUAAAAAAGAACGAAAUCAAAAGCAUUUACAAAACAGUGAAGUUGUAUAUGGGCUAUUUUGAAGAUGACCACUCAAGCGGGGCUGAAGAAACAAUCAGAAGCGGGGAACGGGAGGUUGUUUAAUGUUAUGUGUGGAUAUAUUUCAUAUAUACAUUUCGUUACAUAAGAAAACAAAUCGAAUUGAUUCAGCAACAGAUAAAAUAUUGUUGUAAAACUUGUUUGACGUGAUUAAUAUCUGAUUGCGAUCAACCCAAAAUACAGACAAAAAUAACAUACUUUUGUGUUUUCCACUAGGCAUCUGAAACGCCAUUAAAUAGGUGUAAUAUCUUAUGGUCAGUGGUGCUUGAGAACCUUUCCUUAAGCUUAUAAUGAAUCGGUAUUUCUUGCUUUAUUGUCUUUUACAAGUGCUUUUAAUUGGUAGCAUCUCUUUGCUGUUUCAAACUGUGAAAAUAAAGGUAAAAACAUCGAUUGAUUUAUUAAUUAACUUACUUCAUUGCACAAUUUACUUUCAUUAUGAUGUACUUUACUUUUUUCUUUAUGUAAUUAAUAUGCGAAUGACUAUAGUUAUACGAUUGCGUUUACAUGUCAUUUUGACUGUAUUAAUUCACUACCCCAAGGUGCUUACAGUGGAGUAUUGAAGUUGGUUGUUCAAUUGAGCUAAGUGUUGUGUGUCCUAUCACAGUUGUAAUUAUUGGGAGACUUUCGGCUGAACUUAUUUGUCAUUAGUGUGGCCGCCUUCUCUGCGUCCAUCAGGCAAUUUCCUGUACUGCAUAUCGGAUAUAAAUCUAAAGGCACAUUCGCACUCAUGAUAAGAGAGAAUACAUACAACAAAAUAAAUCCUUAUAUUUGUUAUGUUUUAUUGGUAGCGUAAACCGUUCAAUUUUAACAUAAUCAUGAUACUAAUGAAAAUGCCCAUCAUUAUUCGUACUGUUGCAACCUGUAAUGUAUACGAACAAACGUAAAGUGCUAUGAAGACGCAGUCUCUGGGAACAAUGUAAAGUUCAUAAUCACAACUGUAAUAGCAAAUCUUGUUAAGUGCCCAUACUUAGUUGAAGUAUCGCUGUGCAAAGUUUCAAUUCACACCUACUUUUUUCUUCAACGUUCAACGGUUGUAUGCAAUCCUGUGUCAAAAAGGCUUGUGUAAGAUAAUCGUUAUCUCGCAAACACACUAGAAAAGAGCUACAAAAGAAGGAAGUUAUAAAUUGCUUCAGUGGAUCUGUAUGUUUUAAUCGCAAAGUUCACGAUAUAAAAAUUGAAGGGAAAUAUAAGACUUAAAAGGAAGUAAAAGAAACAUAAUUUGAUAGUGUUAUCUGAAGCCGUUAAUGAGAAAUACAUCUUCGAGAAACUAUAUUCUAGAUACACAGUACAUUUUCAGAAUGGAAGAGCAUGUCCGAUUGUUAUUGCUCAUGUUGAUGACGAUGGUUGUCAGGUCACUAAAAGUGCCAGAUUUAAGUCAUGACGAUGCUCAGCCUCACAAACCUACUAACGCCGCUGUGUUCGGCAACUCGGUCGUUGUCAAUGAUGAUACAAUUAUCCACAACAACAAGAAGCAAUUAAAAACAGACAUCGUCAACGCGUACGAACAUGUGAACCUUGACGAUAUUAGUCCUCAGUCUCCAAAUCUGAACUAGCACUUCUGGAAAUGUAAGUGUUAGUUCUGAAUCUCUAAAAUUGACGGAUUCAGACGAAUGUGUACUAAACAUAAUGUCGGACGUAAUUAAUCAAUUCCGACACAUCAUUUAUACGGAAGCCAGUAAUUUUGCGUAUCUUAAUCUGACGGCAACCAGUGAUGUCAGUAUUCAAAAAGCCAAUUAUACGAUUGGAGAGAACGUGUGGGUGUGGACUUUUUACGGCAAGGAAGGUGCUUUUGAAUUCCUACGUUGGCCAACAGAGUUUGGUAUUUGGUCGAUGGGUCUUCUGUAUGAAAGUGUGACAUACCACCCGAUACCAAUCAGGCUUUCUAGAGUGUCGGGAAAUUGUUCAAACUUACGAGUUGGAAACAGAGAGGACGAUUUGAUUAUAAGUCGUGCUUUUGUCAAUUUAACUGAGGAAAUGAUGUCCUUGAACUCAGAAAAAUACGGCCCUUCAUUCUUUUGUUAUAGAAAGAGAAUAAUAAUAGAUCCAUAUAUGUUGUGUAAACAUCUUGUUUGUCCCUUAGAGGCAGUGACAUAUUCGUGUUGUAAUUACUUUUAUAAUGGAACUCAGAAGAAAAGAGAGAUGGUGUGCAGAGAGCAAGUGUUUGAUUUUGACGACAUGUGGUGGGUUUUUCCAAGUAUUAUUUCACUUGCCCUUUUUGCAUAUUCGCCGACACUCUUGAUGUUUCUCUUUGACAAAGUUACAGAGACCACACGUUACAAAUUUGAAAUUCCGUUAACUGUAGAUAAUGUUCGAGAUCAUCUACAACAUGAACAUGUUUCAGACUUUAUAUUACUAGAUGGUCUCCGUCACGUUACCUUCAUGAAUACUAUUUGUACGCCAUUUAGACUAUGUAACAAUGCCUUGGUUGGAACUUACUUACGAAAUACUGUCAGUAGACUUAGUCGUAUAUUAAUCCCCAUUGGUACAUUCUCUAUUGUUGCACUACAAAUUCUUCUCGACUAUUAUUACUUAAAUGGGUUUGUUCACGAGGCUGUUGACACUGGAGUUCCACUUGGGUUUCGAUCAAUGCUUACUGGUUUCUCGAGCAGUCAGAUAAAUUUCCUGCCCAAACUAGGUGGACCAUUCAUUGCUUCUGGCUGCUACAUUGUGGUAACCAGUAUCCUAUUAGUAAUACCCAGAUCUCCCAUUGAAAUUCUAGAACGGGGCGUGAACUGGGGAGAUCCGUCCGUUUGUGAAAGGUCACCAUUAAGCCUAAAACCGAGUACGAUUGGUUUGUUUGGAGCCGUUAGAUUGCAAAAUACACGACGGUACCACGCGAUAUAUAAUCUCCUGCUAGCGCAGCUGUACAUGCUUAUGAAUAUUAAGUUCUGGAAGUACAGUGUAGGUCUGCAGAUAAACAGGUGGUCAGCUUUGCGCAAAUGUCGUGCAUGCGUGUUACUGUUGCCGGUAUAUGUAUCGCUUUGUGCUUUUGAAUUACUACUUGCCCUUUUGCUGUAUGGACUUCCAAUCGUGUCCUUUGCCUUCAUUAUUAUUAAAGGAUACUGUAAAGAAUUGAUAAGAGCUGGAAGCAAAUCUCGCGAAGAUAUAUGUGCAUACAUCUGUUCCAUGUUUCUAGCCGUGCCCGUUUUCUACUUCCUUUUUAUGUUCGGUACCAUCUUUCUUGAUGCAACGUUAUUUGUAUGCCGAGUGACAAUUUUCAGCUUUACUGGUGUCAUCAUUUUUCCUAGAACAGCGUACGGUUAUCUCAUAUUCGCGUUUACUAUACUUUACUACCUAUGUGAUAGCUUAGAGAACUUUUCGUUAAUAUACAAACGAAUUCUAAAACAGACGAUAGCAGCAGCGGAAUCUCUGCAGAGAGCUAACGACGAAGGACAAAAUAAGGUCAUUUACACGAUAAAAGGGCGUAAAGGCGUUCGGGAAUCAUUAUAUGAAUUUAUAAUCGAGAAGCACAUGCCAAGAAGAAAGCAGGUUUUUUUGACCAUUGCUUCAAACCGGAUUACUACUUGGGGGCCUGUGGAUUUUGAUUAACCUUCUUCUAAAAACAGACAAUUUUAAAGAACUGCACGUCAUAAUGCACGUUGGUACUGCAUUGUUUAUAUGUGCUUUGCCGACAUUGUGCAAGAGGGUGUGCAGCGAUGGCGGCAAAACUGCAAAUAAGAAACAACAAAGAGAAAUCUUGCACAGUGUUAAAGUAUACAUGGGAUAUUUCGAAGGCGAGUCGUCAAGCGAAGCAGAAGAGGAAUUGAUGAAUGGGGAACCUGAAUGUGUCUAAUCUUAAGCGUGUGUUUCCUAAGAAAAGGUUACAUGUUAGCAGCUUGUACAUAUACGACACUACAAGGUGGUGAAUUGUGGUUAUACAAAACAUUUAAUCCCGCGUUUCUUUGUUGGCCUUAGAAGAACUAGUACUUUUUAUAUUAAUAGUAGUGUUUUAUUAUGUUUCUAUGUAAAAAUUAUCUUGUAUUAGUAUCAGUAUAUAGUUUUGUCAUUAUUGGUUUGUUUAAUGUUUGGAAUUAGUUUUGAAAUCGUGAGAUUUUAAAUAAAUUUUGAUACAAAUAGUC